CCUACGGGUGGCAGCAGUGGGGAAUAUUGGACAAUGGGGGCAACCCUGAUCCAGCCAUGCCGCGUGUGUGAAGAAGGCCCUCGGGUUGUAAAGCACUUUCAGUGAGGAAGAACGCCUGGUGGUUAAUACCCAUCAGGAAAGACAUCACUCACAGAAGAAGCACCGGCUAACUCCGUGCCAGCAGCCGCGGUAAUACGGAGGGUGCGAGCGUUAAUCGGAAUUACUGGGCGUAAAGCGCGCGUAGGUGGCUUGAUAAGCCGGUUGUGAAAGCCCCGGGCUCAACCUGGGAACGGCAUCCGGAACUGUCAAGCUAGAGUGCAGGAGAGGAAGGUAGAAUUCCCGGUGUAGCGGUGAAAUGCGUAGAGAUCGGGAGGAACACCAGUGGCGAAGGCGGCCUUCUGGACUGCAACUGACACUGAGGUGCGAAAGCGUGGGUAGCAAACAGGAUUAGAUACCCUAGUAGUC
rnacentral:rRNA from 1 species